rnacentral:rRNA from 1 species
UCAGGACGAACGCUGGCGGCGUGCUUCGUACAUGCAAGUCGAACGAUAAGGUCUCUUCGGAGAUACAUAAGUGGCGGACGGGUGAGUAAAAUGUAGAGAAUCUGCCCUAGAGAUGGGGACAACAGUUGGAAACGACUGCUAAUACCCAAUAUGAGCGUAGUUGAAAUACUAUUCUUGAAAACUCCGGUGCUCUGGGAUGAGUAUGCAUCUGAUUAGCUAGUUGGAGGUGUAAUGGACCACCAAGGCGACGAUCAGUAGCUGGUUUGAGAGGAUGAUCAGCCACAAUGGGACUGAGACACGGCCCAUACUCCUACGGGAGGCAGCAGUAGGGAAUUUUGCGCAAUGGGGGAAACCCUGACGCAGCCAACGCCGCGUGAAUGAAGAAGCCCUUCGGGGUGUAAAGUUCUGUCAGUAGGGAAGAAUAAAUGACUGUACCUACAGAGGAAGCAUCGGCUAACUCCGUGCCAGCAGCAGC